CUGGCCUUGUGGCCCUCGGCUACUUUCUUGCCUGUGGCUGCGUCCAGGAGGUCAUAGUGGCUGAACUCGUCCAUGCUGUGAGCCCAACUGAGGCCGGCCUUGUGGCGGGAGAGAACGAAGAGGCAGCAGGGAGACGACACACAUGCAUGUGCGCACACAGAGGCGGCAGGAACAGGAUGUCUGGCUGCAGCUCCCCCUUCUGCUGACUGCUGACAGCUGUCCUGGCGGCCCCCAGGGCUCUUCCCUGGCUCCCACUGAGGUCUGGGUUGCAAGGCCAGAGGCCAGCAGCGGCCAGCCUAGGGAUCAGCUCUCUGAGAGUCUGUCUGGAGCUGGCCACUGCAACUCCAGUCUGCCAGGACUUACGGUCCAGAGCCUCGUCUAAGGGAGGUGGCUUGGAAUCCGUCUGGGUUGAAACAAAACAUCCUACUUCCCUCUGUUCGGGCCAUGUUAUGAGCUGGCCACGCAAUGUGGGAAGCUGAAAGAGCCAGUGCGAGAGGCUCCAGCAUUCCGGGCCAGGAACUCUACUCUGGGUCACUGAUGGAGCCCUGAUCGCAGUUCCACACGGAGACCUGAUCCGGCAUCAUAGAAUGGGACCCAAGACCUACCAGCAACUCCGAAUCUUGGUCUUACUAUUCCUAGCCUUGGUCUGCAGGUGAUGAGCUGCAUACAUGACUGUGUUCUAUACCUGUCCCCCAGGACGCAGGGCACGGGAUGCCUUUGGAAGUGUGCAGGAAACAGACUGAGAGAGGGCAGUGAACAGUCACAAGUGGGUGGAGCAGAUGCAGGAGGAAAUCCCAGGGCCUAACUCCCUCCAAAGACUCUCCUGUCCUCCUUUUUUCUAAGAAUGCAGUUUUUUCAAUGUUAAAACCUAUAUACAGUCAAAUGCACACAGUCCAGUCACACGACUUGAUUUCUGACAGCUGAAUGCAGUUGCAUAACAACCACCUCAGUGAAGCCAGGGUCUGUUUCUGCCAUCUGUUGGACACCUUCCCAGGGAGAUGCCCUGCCAUUCCCACCCCGCCCCACCCCCAGCAACCCCUGUUCUCCUUGUGGGUCGCUGUGGAUUAGUCUCCUUUAGUUCUUAAAUUAAGUCACUUAUUUUCUUUGUUCCACACUGACCACCGCCCAGAGCCUCCUGGGAUUCUCCUGAACAACCCCUGCUCUCUGCCCCGCCCGACUGUUCAUGCCCCCUUUGCCCUGGGAGUUCAGGCCAGUCCCCCUCAGGCUCCUUUGCCAGGGUCCCAGGGAACAGCAGGCCCCUCCCUGGGCUUGGUAUGUUGUUCCAGGGAGGAACAAGGCCGCCGCCUCGCUGCCCUGCCCCGGGACAUUCCGUCAGCA